UACAGAGGGUGCAAGCGUUGCUCGGAAUCAUUGGGCGUAAAGGGUAGGUAGGUGGUCUCAUUUGUCUGGGGUGAAAGCCCAGGGCUUAACCCUGGAAGUGCCCCGGAAACGGUGAGACUGGAGUCUUUGGAGAGGGUCGUGGAAUUCCCGGUGUAGCGGUGAAAUGCGUAGAGAUCGGGAGGAACACCAGCGGCGAAGGCGGCGACCUGGACAAGUACUGACACUCAACUACGAAAGCGUGGGGAGCAAACAGG
rnacentral:rRNA from 1 species